CCAUUGGCUGGGGGGAGGGAGCAGGGCGUGGGAGGCCAAAGGAGGGAGUUUUAAAAUGUAUAUAAGGGGCUGCUUGGAGGGAGAGAGAGUCAUUGCUUUUGUGCCUCAGGAGAGGAGAGAAGAACUCUGACAGAGACAGACUGCAGCAGCACUGAGAAGAGGAGAGAGAUUGUAAUCUGGGCCUGCCUGCCCUGCCCUGCCUGGCCCAGCAAAAAAAGAAAGAAAAAGAAAGUGAGAGAGGGAGAGAGAUGGAGAAAGCAUGAAGACAAAGAAGGAAGACAGAUAAACAAGAAUGCUUUAAAAAGAUAGAUGAACAUGUAUAUUUUAAAAAAUAAGUGGAUCUCAAGUUAAAAAAGCUGUUCUUGGAAAAGAAAAUUUUCUUAAAAGAAGGUGCAGUUUCACCUUUCACCACAGGGUGACAACAUUUACCAGCUAAGUCUACUAUUCACCUGACAAGGAAUGUAACCCCUCAAUUCCCAUUGACUUCAGGUCUUGUUAUCCGCAGUUGUAGCCAAGAAUGGAACCCCUGCGGAUAACAAGGUCCACCUGUAAAUACUGAAACUUGGCAGGAAAAGCUUACAGAAUGCUGUAGAAUCUACCACACAAGAGGCUAUUGUCUAUACAACCAGAGCUGGCUCAUUGCCUGUUGCCACUUGAAGCAAUUUCCAACUUGUUGCCCCACCUUCCCUUGCCAGCCCUGCCCGCUAGGUGAUUCUUGCACUGUCCGUGUCCUGCCUUGCUGGCCCAGCCACCUGACUUACCACCCUGCCUCAUGAGCUAGAGCCAAAGCAACGUCAAUGAAACGAAAGAAAUUUUCUCACUGGACUCAUUUUUGGUAGUGUGUGCUGACACCACUGUUUGCUGUAGUAGAUACUCACCUUCACUGGCCAGUCUUUCCCUCCCCACCCCCAGCACCAAUGUUUCCGCUGUUCUGGAGAUACUGUCUUCUAAAGAAAGAAUAUCUAGCUGCCUUGCAGAAGAAGAAAACAAAAAAAGCUUUCCUCACACCAUCUACUGAUCAAAGGUACAUACAUAGUACAUGUGAAACAGGAUGAUUCCCCUAAAAACCUUUCCACUGUUUUAAAGAGUUGAGAUAUCUGCAAGUAUACCUUCAAGUUAAUAUGUAAAGUUGCAGGACAGCAGUAAAUAUUGUUCAGGCAUAUGGUUCUUUGAAUUAGCUCUUUGUUCCCUUCAAAACGACAUAUGAAAUUUUAAUAUGUAACCCGAAAAGCUCAUUUUAUACGCCAAACCAGGAUAUAAGCUGGUACAAAAACAUUGGAAAAUCAUUCAUUUGCUUUCCUUUGCUACGAAUUGCUGAUUACAGAUGAACAAGCUUUAUUUA